GAUGAACGCUGGCGGCGUGCUUAACACAUGCAAGUCGAACGAUGAAGCGCAGCUUGCUGUGUUGAUUAGUUGCGAACGGGUGAGUAACACAUGAGUAACCUGCCCUUGACUCUGGGAUAAGCGCUUUCAACGGCGUCUAAUACCUAAUACGAGCUUCCUCCGCAUGCAUAGUUGCUGGAAAGAAUUUCGGUUAGGGGUGGACUGUCGGCCUAUCAGGUAGUUGGUGAGUUAACGGCUCACCAAGCCGAAGACGGGUAGCCGGCAUGAGAGGGUGACCAGCGACAAUAGUACUGCGACACGGAGCAGUAUCGUACCGGCCGCAGUAGUGGAGAAUAUUGCGGAACGGGCGCAAGCGUGAUGCAGCAACGCCGCGAGCGGGAAGCAGGCUUAUGAGUCGUAAACAUAUUUUAGCAGGGAAGAAGCGAAAGUGACGGUACCUGAAGAAAAAGCACCGGCUAACUACGUG
rnacentral:rRNA from 1 species